GUUCCCUGUUCUCGCCUCCUGCUCCGCCAUGGCUCCCAAAGGCAGCUGCAAACAGCAGUCUGAGGAGGACCUGCUCCUGCAGGAUUUCAGCCGCAAUCUCUCGGCCAAGUCCUCCGCGCUCUUCUUCGGGAACGCGUUCAUCGUGUCUGCCAUCCCCAUCUGGUUAUACUGGCGAAUAUGGCAUAUGGAUCUUAUUCAGUCUGCUGUUUUGUAUAGUGUGAUGACCCUAGUAAGCACAUAUUUGGUAGCCUUUGCAUACAAGAAUGUGAAAUUUGUUCUCAAGCACAAAGUAGCACAGAAGAGGGAGGAUGCUGUUUCCAAAGAAGUGACUCGAAAACUUUCUGAAGCUGAUAAUAGAAAGAUGUCUCGGAAGGAGAAAGAUGAAAGAAUCUUGUGGAAGAAGAAUGAAGUUGCUGAUUAUGAAGCUACAACAUUUUCCAUCUUCUAUAACAACACUCUGUUCCUGGUCGUGGUCAUUGUUGCUUCCUUCUUCAUAUUGAAGAACUUCAACCCCACAGUGUAUCCUUUUCAAGGUUGAUUAUCUUUUUUAGAAGUCAAGAAACAGUAGUUUUUGGUUUUGACUUGUCUGGAUAUUUUAGUGGAAAGAAAAACUGCUCUGGGAGUCAGUCCAUUAAAUAGUGCUGACUUUAGAUAACUUUCUGGACAUUUAAAAUAACAGCUACUGGUUUAAGAUUCUUUUAAGUUUAUGAAUUAUGACUGUAUGAUAAAGUAUUACAAAGUAGUCUAUGAGAAUAUGUGUCCUUGCCUCCUUAAAAAAAAGCUCCAAAGAGCCAAAGCAAACCUGUCAUUUUUGAUAGCUUCUGAAAUAAUAAGCCCCUGUAUCUGUUAUUUUUGGGCUCUGGGGGUUGG
rnacentral:sRNA from 1 species